rnacentral:rRNA from 1 species
ACUGAGGAACGAAAGCAUGGGUAGCGAAGAGGAUUAGAUACCCUCGUAGUCCAUGCCGUAAACGAUGUGUGUUAGACGUUGGAAAUUUAUUUUCAGUGUCGCAGCGAAAGCGAUAAACACACCGCCUGGGGAGUACGACCGCAAGGUUAAAACUCAAAUGAAUUGACGGGGACCCGCACAAGUAGUGGAGCAUGUGGUUUAAUUCGAAGAUACGCGCAGAACCUUACCAACACUUGACAUGUUCGUCGCGACUUUAAGAGAUUAAAGUUUUCGGUUCGGCCGGACGAAACACAGGUGCUGCAUGGCUGUCGUCAGCUCGUGUCGUGAGAUGUUGGGUUAAGUCCCGCAACGAGCGCAACCCUCACUUUUAGUUGCCAUCAUUAAGUUGGGCACUCUGAAAGAACUGCCAGUGAUAAGCUGGAGGAAGGUGGGGAUGACGUCAAGUCCUCAUGGCCCUUACGUGUUGGGCUACACACGUGCUACAAUGGUAUCUACAACAGGAAGCAAGACUGCGAAGUUAAGCAAAUCCUUAAAAGAUACCUCAGUUCGGAUUGCACUCUGCAACUCGAGUGCAUGAAGCUGGAAUUACUAGUAAUCGUGGAUCAGCGUGCCACGGUGAAUGCGUUCCCGGGCCUUGUACACACCGCCC